GACGAACGCUGGCGGCGUGCCUAAUACAUGCAAGUAGAACGCUGAAGAGAGGAGCUUGCUCUUCUUGGAUGAGUUGCGAACGGGUGAGUAACGCGUAGGUAACCUGCCUUGUAGCGGGGGAUAACUAUUGGAAACGAUAGCUAAUACCGCAUAACAAUGGAUGACACAUGUCAUUUAUUUGAAAGGGGCAAUUGCUCCACUACAAGAUGGACCUGCGUUGUAUUAGCUAGUAGGUGAGGUAACGGCUCACCUAGGCGACGAUACAUAGCCGACCUGAGAGGGUGAUCGGCCACACUGGGACUGAGACACGGCCCAGACUCCUACGGGAGGCAGCAGUAGGGAAUCUUCGGCAAUGGGGGCAACCCUGACCGAGCAACGCCGCGUGAGUGAAGAAGGUUUUCGGAUCGUAAAGCUCUGUUGUAAGUCAAGAACGAGUGUGAGAGUGGAAAAUUCACACUGUGACGGUAGCUUACCAGAAAGGGACGGCUAACUACGUGCCAGCAGCCGCGGUAAUACGUAGGUCCCGAGCGUUGUCCGGAUUUAUUGGGCGUAAAGCGAGCGCAGGCGGUUUGAUAAGUCUGAAGUUAAAGGCUGUGGCUCAACCAUAGUUCGCUUUGGAAACUGUCAAACUUGAGUGCAGAAGGGGAGAGUGGAAUUCCAUGUGUAGCGGUGAAAUGCGUAGAUAUAUGGAGGAACACCGGUGGCGAAAGCGGCUCUCUGGUCUGUAACUGACGCUGAGGCUCGAAAGCGUGGGGAGCGAACAGGAUUAGAUACCCUGGUAGUCCACGCCGUAAACGAUGAGUGCUAGGUGUUGGAUCCUUUCCGGGAUUCAGUGCCGCAGCUAACGCAUUAAGCACUCCGCCUGGGGAGUACGACCGCAAGGUUGAAACUCAAAGGAAUUGACGGGGGCCCGCACAAGCGGUGGAGCAUGUGGUUUAAUUCGAAGCAACGCGAAGAACCUUACCAGGUCUUGACAUCCCGAUGCUAUUUCUAGAGAUAGAAAGUUACUUCGGUACAUCGGUGACAGGUGGUGCAUGGUUGUCGUCAGCUCGUGUCGUGAGAUGUUGGGUUAAGUCCCGCAACGAGCGCAACCCCUAUUGUUAGUUGUCAUCAUUCAGUUGGGCACUCUAGCGAGACUGCCGGUAAUAAACCGGAGGAAGGUGGGGAUGACGUCAAAUCAUCAUGCCCCUUAUGACCUGGGCUACACACGUGCUACAAUGGUUGGUACAACGAGUUGCGAGUCGGUGACGGCAAGCUAAUCUCUUAAAGCCAAUCUCAGUUCGGAUUGUAGGCUGCAACUCGCCUACAUGAAGUCGGAAUCGCUAGUAAUCGCGGAUCAGCACGCCGCGGUGAAUACGUUCCCGGGCCU
rnacentral:rRNA from 1 species